GAUCCUAUGAUGCGAAAGAAAAGAUAUGAACCCGAUAGGGGUUGGUGACAUAGAAAGUAGUGUUUAAUGUUAAAGAACAAACGAGUGGCAUCCAACUGUUAAAGAAUAACGAGUGGCAUUAAUGUAGUGUAAAUGACACUAGAGGUUUGAGAACCUAGGGAUAGAUGGAUCUCUUAGAAAAUGCCUUGUGGAUAAAGAACUUAGUAAACCUAAGUACCCUCACAUUGAGA
rnacentral:lncRNA from 1 species